UCUUGGCUCCACCACCCCUCCUGACCACUGCUGAUUCCAGGACAGUACCAUGCUACACUGCCUUUGUCCUUGAUUCUUCAUCUCUUCUCAUCUGAGUAAACAAAAACCUAUAGAGGAAGUUGCUUCCAGGGCAAAGUUGGCUGCCAAAGAAAGUGUUUCCCUCCUCCAAUCCCAGUGGCCUCUUUGUGGCCUAGCACAACUGCUGCUAUCACCCCAUCAUUGGUGCCAUUACCUACCAGAGCUUCAGUGCAAAGAAAUCUUGGACAGAUAUUACAGAAUGCUACCUGAAAACACCAGAAAUCUCUCACUGUCUCUGGAUGAAGAGAAAAGGAGGAAUACUACAAUAUUACUUAACAACCUAAGAAGAAAAGGAGGAAUACUACAAUAUUACAUAACAAGGGCCAAAAAACUAAAAAGUAAGAAAAGAUCUAGACUAAGAAUUUUCCAAACUGGAAGUGGGGGGAAGGAAGCAAAGACCAGAAUCCUAACAAAUCUCUAUCUAUAGCUAUUAAUAUGGUGAAAACAGUGCUUGAUAAAUCAUAUCAAAGCAGUUUCAAAUGGUUCCACUGAUAGACAAGAUUAUAUGUGUAAG